rnacentral:siRNA from 1 species
UAUGAUCUUGAUCAGAUGAUGCA